GUGUCAGCAGCCGCGGUAAUACGAACCGUACAAACGUUAUUCGGAAUCACUGGGCUUAAAGGGUGCGUAGGCGGCCACGUAAGUGAGAUGUGAAAUCCCUCGGCUCAACCGAGGAAGUGCAUUUCAUACUGCAUGGCUUGAGGGAGACAGGGGUAAGCGGAACUGAUGGUGGAGCGGUGAAAUGCGUUGAUAUCAUCAGGAACACCGGUGGCGAAAGCGGCUUACUGGGUCUCUUCUGACGCUGAGGUACGAAAGCUAGGGGAGCGAACGGGAUUAGAUACCCGUGUAGUCC
rnacentral:rRNA from 1 species